CAGAAACUUGUUGUAGCACACAAGACAAAAUGAUUUGCCUUGACCUUUUUCGAUUCUUUCUCUCCAACCUCAGCCCCCUCUUUUUCUUUUAUCUUGGCUGUCCUUGAGAAGCAACACGUGCCAGUUCAAGACCACUUUUGAGCUCGGCGUUCAACACCAUCACUCCUGACAUCCUCCAACAGAAGCUCAUCCAGCUUGCGGUGCCUGCCUCCACCUGUCAGUGGACCACCAGCUUCCUGACCAACAGGAGACAGUGUGUGAGGCUGGGGGGCAUCACAUCUGACACCCGGACCACCAACACUGGAGCCCCUCAGGGGUGUGUCCUCUCUACACUGCUCCUCUCUUUCUACACCAAUGAUUUCUCCUCAGGUAACUCUCCUGUGAAACUCCUGAAGUAUGCAGACGACACCACUCUCAUCGGACUGAUCCAGGACGGUGAUGAGACUGCGUACAGACAGGAGGUGGAGCGGCUGGUCCACUGGUGCAGUCAAAACCAUCUGGAGCUGAACCCGCUCAAGACCGUGGAGAUGACAGUGGAUUUCAGGCGAGACCCUUCACCACUUUUACCCCUCACUAUCCGCAGUAAUCCUAUUCUCUCCACAGACACCUUCAAGUUCCUGGGAACCACAAUCUCUCGGGACCUGAAAUGGACCGGCCACAUAGACUCUGUCCGGAAGAAGGCCCAGCAGAGGCUUUACUUCCUGUGACAGCUCAAGAAGUUCAACCUGCCGCGAGAGCUUCUGAAGACCUUCUACACUGCCAUCAUCCAGUCUGUCCUCUGCACCUCCAUCACUGUCUGGUUUGGAUCGACCUCCAAACAAGACAAGCAUAGACUACAACGGACAAUCAGAACUGCAGAAAAGAUCAUUGGAAUCAACCUCCCAUCUAUCCAAGACUUGUACCUGUCCAGGACCAGGAAUCGUGCAUGGAACAUCUCUACAGACCCUUCUCACCCAGGUUGCAGUCUGUUUGAACUACUCCCCUCCGGACGGCGUUAUAGAGCUCGGUACGCCAAAACCAGCAGACGCAGAGACAGCUUCUUCCCACAGCCUGUUGCUCUGAUGAACUCACACCACUCACAAAGUCUCAGAGACAUUACUGUGCAAUAACAUCCUGCUCUUCACACCUUUUUGAAUUUGUCUACACUGUUUUUGCCAUUAUUCACAUGUCCUGAAUGUUGUUAGUCACCUAAAUGUUGAACAGAGGGUGUGUUUUUACCGAAGUCAAAUUCCUUGUUUGGCACGCUCAAACAUGGCGAAUAAAAAAAACUCUUGAACUCUUCAA